ACUGGAUUCUUCGGAUGAAGGUCUGGUGACUGAGUGGCGGACGGGUGAGUAACGCGUGGGUAACCUGCCCUGUACAGGGGGAUAACAGCUGGAAACGGCUGCUAAUACCGCAUAAGCGCACGAGGAGACAUCUCCUUGUGUGAAAAACUUCGGUGGUACAGGAUGGGCCCGCGUCUGAUUAGCUGGUUGGCAGGGUAACGGCCUACCAAGGCAACGAUCAGUAGCCGGUCUGAGAGGAUGAACGGCCACAUUGGAACUGAGACACGGUCCAAACUCCUACGGGAGGCAGCAGUGGGGAAUAUUGCACAAUGGGGGAAACCCUGAUGCAGCAACGCCGCGUGAGUGAAGAAGUAUUUCGGUAUGUAAAGCUCUAUCAGCAGGGAAGAUAAUGACGGUACCUGACUAAGAAGCUCCGGCUAAAUACGUGCCAGCAGCCGCGGUAAUACGUAUGGAGCAAGCGUUAUCCGGAUUUACUGGGUGUAAAGGGUGCGUAGGUGGCAGUGCAAGUCAGAUGUGAAAGGCCGGGGCUCAACCCCGGAGCUGCAUUUGAAACUGCAUAGCUAGAGUACAGGAGAGGCAGGCGGAAUUCCUAGUGUAGCGGUGAAAUGCGUAGAUAUUAGGAGGAACACCAGUGGCGAAGGCGGCCUGCUGGACUGUUACUA
rnacentral:rRNA from 1 species